rfam:Bombyx mori DNA, contig80272.
AACUUCCUUGUCUUGGGGAGCAUAGUGCGCAGUGAUCGUAAAGUGAGAGCACUUCUGCUGACACCCACAAGUUAAACUUGUUACACCCGCGCCCGGCUGCCGUAAGGGAGUCCGAGCGCAAUUUUUGACGGGCACUCUUACUUUACAGAGGCCUUU